rnacentral:rRNA from 1 species
AGGCGGGAUACGAGUUAUCUGAACCUUCGGGGAACGAUAACGGCGUCGAGCGGCGGACGGGUGAGUAAUGCCUAGGAAAUUGCCCUGAUGUGGGGGAUAACCAUUGGAAACGAUGGCUAAUACCGCAUGAUGCCUACGGGCCAAAGAGGGGGACCUUCGGGCCUCUCGCGUCAGGAUAUGCCUAGGUGGGAUUAGCUAGUUGGUGAGGUAAGGGCUCACCAAGGCGACGAUCCCUAGCUGGUCUGAGAGGAUGAUCAGCCACACUGGAACUGAGACACGGUCCAGACUCCUACGGGAGGCAGCAGUGGGGAAUAUUGCACAAUGGGCGCAAGCCUGAUGCAGCCAUGCCGCGUGUGUGAAGAAGGCCUUCGGGUUGUAAAGCACUUUCAGUCGUGAGGAAGGUGGUGUAGUUAAUAGCUGCAUUAUUUGACGUUAGCGACAGAAGAAGCACCGGCUAACUCCGUGCCAGCAGCCGCGGUAAUACGGAGGGUGCGAGCGUUAAUCGGAAUUACUGGGCGUAAAGCGCAUGCAGGUGGUUUGUUAAGUCAGAUGUGAAAGCCCGGGGCUCAACCUCGGAAUAGCAUUUGAAACUGGCAGACUAGAGUACUGUAGAGGGGGGUAGAAUUUCAGGUGUAGCGGUGAAAUGCGUAGAGAUCUGAAGGAAUACCGGUGGCGAAGGCGGCCCCCUGGACAGAUACUGACACUCAGAUGCGAAAGCGUGGGGAGCAAACAGGAUUAGAUACCCUGGUAGUCCACGCCGUAAACGAUGUCUACUUGGAGGUUGUGGCCUUGAGCCGUGGCUUUCGGAGCUAACGCGUUAAGUAGACCGCCUGGGGAGUACGGUCGCAAGAUUAAAACUCAAAUGAAUUGACGGGGGCCCGCACAAGCGGUGGAGCAUGUGGUUUAAUUCGAUGCAACGCGAAGAACCUUACCUACUCUUGACAUCCAGAGAACUUUCCGAAAAUGGAUUGGUGCCCUCGGGAACUCUGAAAAAGGUGCUG